UACAGAGGUCUCAAGCGUUGUUCGGAUUCAUUGGGCGUAAAGGGUGCGUAGGCGGCGCUGUAAGUCGGGUGUGAAAUUUCGGAGCUUAACUCCGAAACUGCAUUCGAUACUGCGGUGCUUGAGGACUGGAGAGGAGACUGGAAUUCAUGGUGUAGCGGUGAAAUGCGUAGAGAUCAUGAGGAAGACCAGUGGCGAAGGCGGGUCUCUGGACAGUUCCUGACACUGAGGCACGAAGGCCAGGGGAGCAAACGGG
rnacentral:rRNA from 1 species